CUUAAUAUUGUUUAUUUUUUCAUUCUCCCUCCCCACCAUCUUCUUAUUUUCUUCUGAUUCAUCAUGCAAGGGAAUUGGCUUUUUAGAAAGCUUUUUUUUUUUCCCCAAAGAACCAACCUUUGGCUUUGAUUAUUCUUUCUGCUGCACUUUGGUGUGUGCCUUUUACUUUGCUCGUAACUUUAAUAUUUUAUUCUUCUGCUUUCACUGGCUUUCUUCUGUUAUUCUUUUGAAUUCUUAAUGUUUUUAUUUAUUUUUGAAGGAGAGAGAGACAGACAGAGCAUGAGCGGGGAGGAGCAGAGAAAGAGGGAGACACAGAAUCUGAAGCAGGCUCCAGGCUCUGAGCCAUCAGCACGGAGUCCGAUGCAGGGCUCAAACCCACAAACUGUGAGAUCAUGACCUGCACUGAAGCUGGACACUUAACCGUCUGAGCCACCCAGACACCUCCAGGUCUAUGGACUUUUAGUGGAUGUGUUUUUGUUAUUAAAUUCCAUACACGAAUGCAUUAGGGUCAAGGAAUACAGGAUUCUUAGGAUUUGUUGAGGCAGCUCUAUGGUCUAGAACAUAUUUUUGUACUUAUUCCAUGAAUGCUUUAAAAUAAAUGCGCUUCCUCCUACGUUGGGCGCAUCAUUCCAUGUACCAUCAGGAGAACUUUCUUAUUUGCACUGUUCAAAUUUUCUAUUAUUCUUGGUAAUUUUUUGUCAGCAUGAUCAGUCACUGGGAUGGAUGUAUGAAAAAUCCCUUACCAUGUGAAUUUUUAAACCUCUUCUUGUGGUUUUUGUCAUGUUUUGCUUUAUAUAUCUUGAACUUUGUUUUGAUGCAUAACAGUUUAGAAUCGUGUCUUCUUGAUGAGUUGAAACUUUUAUCAUUAUGUACGAAGUCUCUUUAUUUUUAGCUAUAUUUUUGCCCCUAAGUCUAUUUUAACCUCAUAUGGAGAUAGCUUCACUGGCAUUCUUCUGUUUAGUAUUUUCUUGGUCUAUCAUCUUCCUUUUUUUUUUUUUACUUUAACUUUUAUGUUGACUUUCUAUUUUCAUGUUUUUUCUCCAUCUCCUCUAAAUCACACUUAGAUUUUUAUUUUAUCUAUCAUCUAUCUAUCUAUAUCUAUUUUUAAUUGAGAGAGAGAGUGGGAGCAGUGGACAGGCAGACAGGGGCGGGACAGAGAGAGAGAGAGAGAGAGAGAGAGAGAGAGAGAGAAGAGAGAAUCCCGAAUAAGUUCCAUGCUCAGCAUGGAGCCUGACUUGGGGCUUGAUUCCAUGACCCUGGGAUCAUAACCUGAGCUUAAACUGAGAUUGGGACACUCAGCCAACUGGGCCACCCAGUCACCCCAUAGAUUUUUAAAAUUUAGUUUGAUAAUCUUGAUUUUUUAGCUGGAAAAUCUAAUUCAUUCCCAUUUAUUAUGAUUGACAUACUUGGAUUGAUUUCUACCUUUUCUUGCAUACUUUUUAUUUGUCUGGAUUUCUAUUUGUUUCUCUCUCCCACCCCCUUUCUUUAGGAUGACUUUUAAAAUUUAUAUUAAUAAUAAUAAUAAUUAUUAUUAUUGUUAUUAAUUAUUCCAUUUUCCCAUCUACCUGCCUGGGAAUCAUAUGCUCUAUGCCUAUCUUAUUUACUGAUUUCUGUAGCUAUUUUACAUGCAUACUUGGCUUAAUAAAGUUUAGAAUUAAUUGAUACAUUUCCAUACCUCUUGGCUAUACUAACUCCUUUGCUUUUCCAUAUAAACUUGAAAAUAAGCUUGUCAGCUUCUAUAAAGAAGUCUGCUGGGAAUUUGAUUAUGGUUGUGGCAAAUCUAUAGAUCAAUUUGGGGAACUGUUGACAUCUUGAUGAUAUGACCACAGGACACUCUCCAUUUGUGUAAGUCUUCUUUGAUUUCUCUCAUCUGUGCUUUGUAGUAUUCAGCAUAUAAAUCUUGCACCUGUAUUUUAUUGUUUCCAUCAAUAUUAUAAAUGACACCUUAAAACUUAAAAGAAAAUUCCAUUCCCAUUUGUUCAUUACUAGUACCUAAAAAUAGGAUUGAUUCUGAUCUAACGGCUUUUAUCCUGUGUCCUUUCUGAACUAACUUAUUAGAAUUUGUUGAAUUAGAAUUAGAAUUAGAAUUAUUUAGAAUAGAAUAGAAUUGGAAUUAGAAUUCUAAUUAGAAUUAGAAUUUGUUGUACUUUUUAUAGAUUCCUGGGGUGUAUAUAUGUAGUCAACCGUGUCAUCUGUGAAUACAGACAGAUUUAUUUAUUUCCCAAUUAGUAUGCCUUUUGUUUCAUUUCUUGCUUAUUUUACCCAUAAGGACUUCUGACAGAUGAGCAGUGAAAGUGGAUGCCAUCUGAUGUUAAGUGGAAAUCAUUCAGCCUUUUAAAAUUAGGAUAUCAUGUGACACUUGGUAGUCUUGUCUCCUUGGGUUCCUCUUGGUUAUAACUCGGACUUGUUUUUGGUGCCCUUGAUAGUUUUGAGGGGCACUGGUCAGUUAUUCUGUAGAAUGUUCCUCACUGGAAUUUGACGUUUUUCUCAUGAUUCAACUGGAGUAAGAUGUUUUGGGCAGGAAGACCACAGAGCAACAGAAAGACUGGACUUCUUUAUCCUCAGGCUGAGCCUGCUGCGGACAAGCCUGUAAUCACCAGUGACCUGCUCAGACCUUGGACUCCCCGCAGCCAGGUUCCAAGGUCAUUCGGACCAGGUGCCUCCAAUCAUCUCUGACUGCUGAAGGUCCUGAGCUGGUCUCUGUGGAAGAUCGAUUGUGUUAAUGGCUCUCCGAGGGGCGUGUAUCCAGACCCUUUGGUAGUGACCUUCCACACUCCCCAAGAAUCUCAAUUCAGACAGGUGGCUUGCUUGGCCAAUGAGACAGAAGCAACCUUGACUCAAGCCGAGCUUGGAGAAGUGCGUGCGCGUUGCCACCAGGCACCUGCAUUUCCAUAAUGGGAACACACCCAGGCUAGUUUUUCCAGAAGGGAUGUGAGAGUUACGUGAAAGAGAGCCAUACUGUUCAUAGCCCAGGUCAUUCUAGAACAGCCCGCCACCGGUCAACCCAGAUCACAGCUGCAUGAACAAGCUUAUCCAAGAUCAGCCGAAACCAGCCCAGUUGCCCUUGCAGACUCUUAAGAAAUACCAAAUGGUCAUCAUGUGAGCCACUAAGAUUCGGGAAUGCUCAGUCCGCGGCAGUAGCUGACUGAUAAAGCUCCUUUACCCGCACAUCAAAGCCAUUCCAGAGAUCAGCCUGAAGGAAGUCAGGCUGGGCUCUAGAAGGUGGAGAACCUUGGGAGGCUCAUGCUGUAUCUCCAAUGCCCAAGUUCAAGGGGAGGGGGGCUCUGGAGUUGCUUAACAAUGAGCCAAGAAAUCAAACUUGGAUGCUGAGAGUUACUAGGAUCCUCUUAGACUCCAUUUCGGUUGGCUUUCAUCAAAUCUCAGAAAUAACACAUGCGCAUUAGAAAGGUAACAAACAAAAGUAUAUGAAGUUAAAUGUCCCACUCUACAGUACCACCUGCUCUCUUCUCUCCCCUGUCUGUCCUCACCCUGAUUUCAUCCCCUGAAGGGAACCAUUCCUAACAAUUUGAUGUGUAUCCUUCCAGAUAGUUUUUGAUGCACACACACACACACACACACACAAAUAUAGACAGAGUUCCUUGACAAAAAGGGAGUAACAGUAAAAUAUUGUUCUGUGACCUCCUUAUUUUACUUAACGGACCACCAACAAGUCUAGCUCAUUGUUUUUAAAAGAUAUAUAGUAUUUCACGGCACGGACAUUCUGUAAUUUGCCACAUCCCUGUAGACAUCUAGAUGGGUUCAAAUUUUCUUACUGUAACUGAAACAUAUAUAUAAUGUCCUCAUGCGUAUAUGGUGCUACUUCUAGGGGAUAUAUACUUAAAAGUGGAGCUGCUCGGUCAAAUUUUUUUUUUUUUUACAUCUAUUUAUUUUUGAGAGACAGAGUGAGACAGAGCGUGAGUGGAGGAGGGGCAGAGAGAGAAGGAGACACAGGCUCCAGGCUCUGAACUAUGAGCACAGGAGCCCGAUGCGGGGCUCAGACUCAUGAACCGUGAGAUCAUGGCCUGAGCCGAAGUCGGACACUUAACCAACUGAGCCACCCAGGCUGCUUGGCCAAGUUUUAAUACAUAUGUCAACUGCCUUUCAAAAAGAGUGGAUGGUAUAAGAACGUCUGUCCUUCCAUACCCUCACUGACUUUGGCUAGUAUCAAUCUCAUAAGCUUUUUGCCAGUCUGAUGGGGAAAAAAACCCAAUACCUAGUUUUAAACUAUUUUUAUUAUGGGUGAGAUUGAAAUAGUUUUAAAUAUGUAUUAGCACUUUGCAUGCCAGUUUUGGUGAACUGUUUCUGUGAUUUGACUACUUUCUCUGUCAGCUCAUGAUUGUUUUCUUAUUGGAUAUGGCAGGUCUUUAUAUAUUAUGGCUAUGAACUUUUUAUUGUAUACAUCCCCAAUUUUUCUAACUUCAUCGUGUUGCUGCCUCUUAGACAACCCCAUUAAACAACCCCUGAACUGUGGGUCUUAGUUCAUUCUCCAGGUAUUUGGUCUCUAUUAAAAUAUUAUGGUAGGAGGGGCGCCUGGGUGGCUCAGUCGGUUAAGCGAACCAAUCUUGAUUUCGGCUCAGGUCGUGAUCUCACGGUUUGUGAGUUUGAGCCCCGCAUGGGGCUCCAUGCUGACAGCACAGAACCUGCUUGGGAUUCUUUCUCUCCCUCUCUCUCUGCCCCUCCCCUGCUAGUGCACAUUUUCUCUCUCUCUCUCAAAAUAAAUCAAUAGAACUUAACAAAGGUUUAAAUAUUAUGGUAGGAAUAUCUAGAGAAAGAGAGUAUGAGAACCUCCUCUUCCAGCUUAUUCGCACCUGAUGGCACCACUAGGGGAUUUAAAUCCUUCUUGGGGAUUGGCUUUGGUGAUGUUAGGGGUUAUUAUGCUUUUUAAAAAAAAAAA